CGGAGAUACACGAGUGGCGCACGGGUGAGUAACGCGUAUGCAACCUACCUUUAACAGGGGGAUAGCCCGAAGAAAUUCGGAUUAAUACCCCAUAACACUUACAUAACACAUGUUAUAUUAGUUAAAACUCCGGUGGUUAAAGAUGGGCAUGCGUGUCAUUAGUUAGUUGGUAGGGUAACGGCCUACCAAGGCUACGAUGACUAGGGGGUUUGAGAGGAUGAUCCCCCACACUGGUACUGAGACACGGACCAG
rnacentral:rRNA from 1 species